CUCUCUCUCUCUCUCUCUCAAUCUUUCCCCAUCUGUUCUUCCUAUUUCUUCUCAUUUUCCUCUCUGUUCAUGCUAUUUCCAAGCGGCUAAACACCAUAAGACAGGCCUGCAAUUUCAGGAUCCAACAACUUUGAUUUGUCAUUCACAUCAUUGUUUCCUUCAUAUACCAUUUUAGCUAAAAAGCGAUAGUCUCUCAGGAUCCAACUUGGCUCUAAUACCAAGAUUUUAGAAUCUAAAAUUACAGGUCUAACUUAUAGUGUUUAGAACAUAGCUUUAAAUAUUUACAGGUUUUUAGAAGCCCCAUCACCUGUUAAGCCAUUACCUGAAGGCAAAUCCCGGUUUGCAUUGGUAACGGCCAUUACCA
rnacentral:misc_RNA from 1 species